AUGGUGCCAAGUGACAAGCAUGGAAGAAGUCCCCCUGAAGCGUGGCGGAGCACCGGACUGUCCACAGAGAAGGAAGGAGAAAAGGAGAAAGCAGUAAAGAAACGGGGAGUGAACAGAAGGCAAGGGAAGAAGUUGCUGACGGUGGAGGAGGUGUUCAGGAACGCACGGGUCACCUGCGCACGGAGAAGCACGAUUCAUCUGAACGUGAUCUCUUUGACAUUCCUAAGGCAUGUAUGGGUAACGAAAGCUGUUCGGAGUGGAAGAGCUACUUGAAAAAGAGAGACGAGCUGAGAUGCGGGGUGGCCAGCCCGGAGGUGUCCUGACGACGGUAGAGCUGUGCGAGCCCAGGUCCUGCCUUUCUCGCUUGGCAUUGAGAAACUGGGAACUGACCGUGGGCAUUUGCACCUCAACUUUGACGGACUCAACCUUAUGGAUAUCUUAGGUGAGAGUUAUACAAGGAUACAGYGUUGAACAAUUGUCUUUUCAUCUUGGUAGUAAAUUCUGAUCUGUGUUAGAACACGAUUCUGGUAAAAUCAACAAAUUUUUGGACCAAAUUAAUAAUAUUUGAUUCUUAAUAUUUUAGUAUUCUAUGACAAAUUUGCAUGUUUGGUCUGUCAGAAUCACGUAACUCAGCUUUUUUGAUGUAUUUUAUGGUUUGUUACACACUAAUGUAAUCUAUUUUAAGUGUAUAAUUCAGUAAUAAUCUCAAAUUACUCUUUGGCUGAACAAGAGGGAAUCUAAUAAAAGCAUAAAGAGUUUUGAUGUGAUUAAUAUU
ensembl:lncRNA